UCUUAUGGAUGAGGAAAGUGGUUUCUUGAGAUGGAAUCUACUCCUGGUGAAGAUGCUGUGAA
rnacentral:pre_miRNA from 1 species